rnacentral:rRNA from 1 species
GAAGAACGAUGGCGGCGUGCUUAACACAUGCAAGUCGAACGAAGUGGCGAACGGGUGAGUAACGCGUAAUCAACCUGCCCUUCAGAGGGGGACACAAGUUGGCAACGACUGCUAAUAACGCAUACUGAAGGUGGGGAUUGCGUCUGCUUAGCUAGUUGGAGGGGUAAAGGCCCACAAAGGCGAUGAUCAGUAGCCUGGUCGGGACGAGUGACGGCCACAUUGGGACUGGGACACGGCCCAGACUUCUACGGGAGGCAGCAGUGGGGAAUCUUCCGCAAUGGACGAAAGUCUGACGGAGCAACGCCGCGUGAGUGAUGACGGCCUGCGGGUUGUAACGCUCUGUUAAUCGGGACGCGGUACCGGAAUAGAAAGCCACGGCUAACUACGUGCCAGCAGCCGCGGUAAUUC